CAGUCGCCACGGUAAUACGGAGGGGGCUAGCGUUGUUCGGAAUUACUGGGCGUAAAGCGUGCGCAGGCGGUUCGUUAAGACAGAUGUGAAAUCCCCGGGCUUAACCUGGGAACUGCAUUUGUGACUGGCGAGCUAGAGUAUGGCAGAGGGGGGUAGAAUUCCACGUGUAGCAGUGAAAUGCGUAGAGAUGUGGAGGAAUACCGAUGGCGAAGGCAGCCCCCUGGGCCAAUACUGACGCUCAUGCACGAAAGCGUGGGGAGCAAACAGGAUUAGAUACCCGCGUAGUCCCUGUCUCUUAUAC
rnacentral:rRNA from 1 species